rnacentral:lncRNA from 1 species
AAAUGUUGAUUAUGAAUGUUCAUGCUUAUGAGUUUUGGUAGAUCAUAGGAAUUAUGUGCAAAUUGUUUGUUGUUAUUCUUUGAUCUCAAUAGACGGACUCCAUAAUUUGUCCUCAAGUUAUGGAUUACCAAAAAAAAAUUUAUGUUUCCUUGAUUUAUGAUUUAGUUUAGAUUGAUCAAAAAAAAUUAUGUUUUGUUGAUUUCAAUCCAUAUUAAUCUAAAAGAAGUUCAUAAAAUAUGUUUUUGUAACUUGUCUUCAAGUUAUGUAAAAAGUCAUAUUUAUGAAUCUUAAAAAUCAUAAAAGUGUUGUAGGUUACAUAAAAAUGAAGAGUUUUUCCAUUAAAUUGCUUAAUGACUCCAUAACUUGUCUUCAAGUUAUGGAUGUUGAAAAGUCACUUCAUUAAAAAUGUUAUUAAAGAAUAAGGGGUUACAUUAAAAUGAAGAGUCUUCUUUUUAAUGAACCAUUAAACUCAUAAGUUAUGAAAUGAAAGGUUUUGAGUAGUUUCAAAACUU